UGUUUCCCGAUUCAGUUAUGUACACUCUUAUCGAUAUUCUAGAUAAAUUGACAUGGGGUGUUAUAAUUGGUAUCAGAGCAGGUCGAUUCAGUAUCGGAUCUUGCCGCGGAUCAUUAAAGUUCAAUAAAAGUAGUACGGACCCUUUGGAGUCUGAACUAUUUACGCUGAAAUCAUCGCGUGUUGAGUCUGAUCAACUCAGUAUCGUGUAUGGUAGGCAGGGUAUUACGGUUGAGAACCGAAGUGGACCAAGGAGGUCGAGUAGUAAGAACGAAGUAGAAGUGCGAACUCAGAAGGGAGUAUGAACGAAGAUUGUUAGAAGCUAAUAUUGGAACUGCAGCAGUCGAUGCCACAAGAGUAAGUUGAGUAACGCCAACAAGUGGCGCUUAGAAUUGGGAAAAUUAUGUGGCGUAAUACCAGUAGUAAGAGGCAUGUCAAGAGAUGUACGAACCAGACGCGCUCAACUGACGGUAGCAGGUUUAAGGAUAUGGAGAAUUCUGGGAAUGGUAAACCCAGUAUCAAAGUAAGUUUUGACCGGAGUAGAACCGAGACUGUGUAUUGAAGUACGAUACCGAAUAAUUGUACUACGUCUGAUGGGUGCAUUAAUAUGGAGAAUGAAAUUAUGAGAACGGAGCGUGUAUGUAUUAUGUGAACCUAAUAACCAGAAGUACUUAAUUCAAAUAAGACUUAUCAAAAGUCAGUGAACCAAACUCUUUUAAAUUCGUCAAACCAUCAUUUCAGCUCAGUAGUUUUCCCAGAGACAUAGGUCAAUUGACUACACUAUUAGAGAAAGACAAACUAUACUUCAAGCAUUCCUUUAAUUCCUAAUGUCAGUAUGUUGUACCAUUUUGGUAGAAUGAGAACACUAAGUGUCCCCAACAAGAUAAAUUCAGCCUCUUUGUCUGUAACCAAUAAUCAAGUCAGACCAAUAGCAGCCAAGUUUCGUUUAUAGAGUAACGAUUGGAUUUUUAAUCUCAAUUCUAUCAGUCACCUAUGCUGACAUAUUAAAUGUCAUUAUCAGUGGAUUCUUAAACAAGUAACGCAGUUCAAUACUAACUUCAGCAAGUUGCGAAACAAUAUUCCGUAUUCAAACCUCUCGGCUAAGAACCCAACAUAUCCAGUUAAACCUAUUGUGAGAGUUUAACAGCUAAGUUCUAAUGAGAAUCAAGUUUGUUCCAAUUCAAGAGAACUGUCGGUGGAAAUAAAUCAUGAAGCAUGAACAUACACCGACAGAAUCAGGAUUUUCAGUUACCUACCCUUUCACGUGAACUAUAAAUCAGCUAAAUUCAUCGAAUCGAUGCGAUGCAUGAUUCGUAAUCAUCCAGCCUUGUUAAGUUAUGAACAUUACAUUCCUCAAACCUAUCUCAUUUUGAUAGAGAGAUAAAUUCUUCCGGUGCUUUGCGAUAUAUCACUUACAUUUAGCGUAAAAAUUCAAUUAAGUUGCGAAUCUUUCAAAUUCCUCAAUAUCAGCGAAUUGGAUUCACAUUAGAGUGUUAUCCUUAUGUGACUCUGACGAAAUGUCUUCAGUUUUCCAGCCUUGUUAUCAGUAAUCAGUUCAGGCCGAUGUAAGUUUGAAUUUCUUGUUAUGAUUAAUAAGUUAUGAUAAGAACUAUUAGUUAUUCAUGUCGACCUUCGAAGCAGUAACAUUAUGUUUAUCCCCCAAGAAAUUCUUCAAUCUUGUAGUUUCAUUACUGAUGACCAGUUCAGAACCACAUAAGUCUAAUCAAUCAUUAAGGAUCUUGAGUAAUUUCAGUUUAAAUUCUUGUUCGUCUUGUUAACCCGCUAAACAACAUCAUUAAGGUACCUCAAACGUUGGAAAAUUUAAUUCAACCAGUUCAGUUCUUUUUUUCUUUAUGAGGUCUUAUCAACUUGUCUCAGACAAAAUCGAAAAUCAUUCAGAGAUAUAAGUAGUAUCAAGAUUAGUGCAAAUGGUGCGAACCUAUCAAUUCCAUUUUUUGUAAUUAAGUUAGACCAAUGUAAGCCUGAGAAUGUUACCCAAUAAACAUAAGUGUUCCUUUGAAAACUAUCAAAUAUCUUUUGACCGAUUAAUUAACAUCAACAAGCAAACCAGAGUUAGCCAACUUCAUCAGUAGUAGCAUCACCCUCGGUAAAGCGAGACAUUAUGUUUUACCUUCCCUUAGCGACUAGUCUAUUUUAGACAACUCGUUAUCGCAAAAUUGCAUCAGAGAAUUCUAUUCAAAUCUUACCUUAAUUAAGUUAGGGGACUCAUCAUAAGAAGUAACCUCAAUGGACACCGAUGGAAUGAGAAAAUCGUAAGCGCUAUGCGACAAGGAGAUUUUUGGAUUAGUCGGUAAUGAUAUUCAAGUUUAUACCCUUAACAUAACCUCAUAACAUCAGUCGAUGUCCCGUGUUUUUAUGUGUGCCCAACCAAACCAAAUAACGAUAUAAUGUAGUGAGUUGAGUAAUAGAGUUAUUGCUGGAAGCAAUAAUCAGAGUAAGUCAGAAAAGGAGACUGGUUGUGACGAGGGACGACAAAGUGAAAUGAUAAGUAAACAAGAACCAACUCGCGAAGAAUGUCGCUUGUCGAAGUAGGGGUAGUUACUGGAUCAAUACAGGCAUCAUAAUUGAAUGCAACAAUGAGGAGACUUUGAGUAUGAAAUAAUUGUAAUAGAUAAGGAGUGAAGUGUUGCAGACAUGUUAGAUUGUGGUGAAGUAUUAUGUAUGCAGUGGUGCGUUGGAUGUCACUAAGUGAUGCGAGUAUUACUUUGUAAUGUCUACGGUACAAGAAGUAAUAACAAUAUGAGUAACGCCGGAUAAGAUGAGACAAUGUGUGACAUUGCCCAGGAAUUGUAGACCGAGGCUGUAAUGACGCAGUCAGAAGAUAAUGGUAAAAAGUUGAGAUCAGAGUGCGCAGCAAGUAAUGGCGGAGAAUGUAGUCAGCAGGUUGGUCUUUAGGCCAACAACCAUUUGAGAAGAAGAAAGUUUUAUUCCAAGGAAUUGGAUGUGGAAGACGGUAAGAUGAUUAAAGAUCGUAUGAUGAGUAAGUUACGCAAAUAUUCAUGUUUGGACCUGAGAUUGUUAGUAUAGAAUACCCUUGAGAGCAAAGAUUGUGAAGGUAAAACGGUUCACUUAAGUAGUUUGACGCGGGGAACUAGUAAGAUUAAGUAUGCUCCGACGUUGAAUUGAAAAGUGCAAAAGAAGAAAAGUUGUGCUGUGAGCAUUUAAGUUGAGGAAAAGAAACAGAGAGAGCUAAUAUAAGAUGAGCGUGUACCUAAAAGUUGUAUUAUGGGCUGAGAUUGGAAGUUCAAUAUCAUGAAAUGAACAAGUAGAAUUUUCAAAGGUAACGUAAGCAAGUGCUAACGCAGUGAAGAGUGAUAAUUAGUAACCCAUUGAACGACGAAUCAUGGUCGGUUACGAAAUGAAGCUAGAAUCUAAACGAGGCAUAAGCAGUAUACGCUGAGAAUGAAUGAAGAAGUUCUUGAAUUUCGCGGACGAAAUUCUUUUAAGCGGGAUAGAUUGUAACAUCCAAAUUCAAUUAAUAGAGAAAUAGUAAUUAGAGAGAAUUAUUAGAGACCAUACGAGAAUAUGUGAACAAAUAUAAAGGGAUAAUUAAAGGAUACAAGUACACUUUGGUGUUAAGUGGAGGGACAAAGUUGUAAUCAAAGAUAUAAUGCAUGCCAUAGAGGUUAUAAAAGGAUAAGUGGAGUGGACCAACCAUUGAGAUAUCCAUUCUUUCUCUCUCUCACGAUCAGACACAACAACAACAACAACAACACAUCUUUCUCUCAUCUUCACCACAUGCCAAGUCCAUCUCAAACCCCAAUCACUCAUGCAAUUCCAAAAUUAAGAUCCUAAAGUCAUAAACUACAAGGUAAUGGGUUUUAAUUUAACUCUUCUCCUUUAAACAUAUCAAGCAACUUCCAAUCCAUCUAACCUCAGCUUCUGUUCUUCAAACAAAACCCCCAAAAUUCAGUUCUUGCAUGCAAUGGGUUUAAGUUCUGAAGUGGUCAUAAGGUUGUAUAGAAUUAGAAUUAGAAAUUGUAGGCCAUGGUACAAGGGAAGCUGAAUUUGAUGCUCUGUGAUUCUAGCUGCAAGAUAAACUAUGGAAUUUAAGAAAUUAUUAUGGAAAAGUGAUUUAGUAACCUUAAUGAACUGUUGUUGUUGCUGUACUGUAGGCUGAUGUUGUUAAAACUGAUUGGUAUGAUUAGAAUGGUUAUGGCUGAAUUCUAUGGAAUUUUAGUUAAAAAUUCGUAUGACAGUACAGGUACUAAUCGAGUCAUAGCUGUCGCUGUGUAGCCCAGACUUGUGUAAUUGUUUGAUUUUCGGAUUCUACACUUAAUUCCCUUCAGUUUGGAUAUAAGUUUGAUAUAUUUUGGAUUAGAAAUGGAUUCGAAAAACGCGUUUGAAGUUUGGAUAUUGAUGCUGGAAACUGCAUACGGGUUUUGGAAUGGAUUUUGCGGAAUAAGCUAAAAUGUGAGUUUAAGUUGGGUGAAUGAUUCCAGAACUGAAUAUGUAUGCUUAAUUGGCUGAGUAAGAGUUUGAUUUGAAGUUGAAAUGAAAAAAUUAGAGGUUGGAAGUCAGUAGCAGUUUUAUGCAGAAAAUCUGUCACGAGUUUGCAUAUGUGAGCAGCACCAUGAGAUGGUUCUAAGCGGGCGAGAUGGCUCGGUAUUGCUAUCAAUUUCAGGUGGGUUCCCUUAGAAGCUCAACCUUUAUGUAUAGUUAGUACCUUUAGUUUCCCCAA
rnacentral:lncRNA from 1 species